GACGAACGCUGGCGGCGUGCUUAACACAUGCAAGUCGAACGGAAAGGCCCUGCUCUUGUGGGGUGCUCGAGUGGCGAACGGGUGAGUAACACGUGAGUAACCUGCCCUUGACUUUGGGAUAACUUCAGGAAACUGGGGCUAAUACCGGAUAGGAGCUCCUGCUGCAUGGUGGGGGUUGGAAAGUUUCGGCGGUUGGGGCUGGACUCGCGGCUUAUCAGCUGGUUGGUGUGGUAGUGGCUUACCAAGGCUUUGACGGGUAGCCGGCCUGAGAGGGUGAACGGCGACAUUGGGACUGAGAUACGGACCAGACGCCUACGGGAGGCAGCAGGGGGGAAUCUGGCACAAUGGGCGGAAGCCUGAUGCAGCAACGCCGCGUGCGGGAUGACGGCUUACGGGUUGUAAACCGAUGUCGAAGGUGACGAAGCGUGAGUGACGGUAAUGGGUAAAGAAGCACCGGCUAACUACGUG
rnacentral:rRNA from 1 species